rnacentral:rRNA from 1 species
AAGACCUUGCACUUUUGGAGCGGCCGAUGUCUGAUUAGCUAGUUGGUGGGGUAAUGGCCUACCAAAGCUUCGAUCAGUAGCUGGUCUGAGAGGACGGCCAGCCACACUGGGACUGAGACACGGCCCAGACUCCUACGGGAGGCAGCAGUGGGGAAUUUUGGACAAUGGGCGCAAGCCUGAUCCAGCCAUGCCGCGUGAGUGAAGAAGGCCUUCGGGUUGUAAAGCUCUUUCAGCCGGGAAGAAAAGGUUGCGACUAAUAAUCGCAAUCCAUGACGGUACCGAAAGAAGAAGCACCGGCUAACUACGUGCCAGCAGCCGCGGUAAUACGUAGGGCGCGAGCGUUAAUCGGAAUUACUGGGCGUAAAGGGUGCGCAGGCGGUUUUGUAAGUCAGAUGUGAAAUCCCCGGGCUUAACCUGGGAACU